rnacentral:rRNA from 1 species
UAGGGAAUCUUCGGCAAUGGACGGAAGUCUGACCUAGCAACGCCGCGUGAGUGAAGAAGGUUUUCGGAUCGUAAAGCUCUGUUGUUAGAGAAGAACGUUGGUAGGAGUGGAAAAUCUACCAAGUGACGGUAACUAACCAGAAAGGGACGGCUAACUACGUGCCAGCAGCCGCGGUAAUACGUAGGUCCCGAGCGUUGUCCGGAUUUAUUGGGCGUAAAGCGAGCGCAGGCGGUUCUUUAAGUCUGAAGUUAAAGGCAGUGGCUUAACCAUUGUACGCUUUGGAGACUGGAGGACUUGAGUGCAGAAGGGGAGAGUGGAAUUCCAUGUGUAGCGGUGAAAAGCGUAGAUAUAUGGAGGAACACCGGUGGCGAAAGCGGCUCUCUGGUCUAUAACUGACGAUGAGGCUCGAAAGCGUGGGGAGCAAACAGG